CCAAGAGCAGCUCUCUUUUAUCUGGUUACCAUCAAGUCUGACGUUUCAUAGCUGCUCGACAUCUCCGAAAGCUCCUGGCUGGUACGUCCGAGACGGUCUCAUCACUAUUUAAUUAUAUUCUCUCGGUAAUAGUCUCGGUACGGUUUCGGCACAGUUUUACAUCUUUAAAUUAAUAUAAAAAGUUAUAUUUAUAAAAAACUUAUGGACCAGUGCCCGAAAAUAAAACAACACCAAAAAACCCAUAAAAGUUGCUGUGAUAGUUACAUAGUUAUACUAUAAUUUAACUGUGUUUUUCAUUGGAAAUACCGUGCUGGAUCGAAAUCCGUACACCUAAGCACAUGAUAAUCUUCGACGGUCAAUAUAAAAUCAAGAAAUCACAUAUUGCUUUAAACUGAUAUGUUUACUUGAAUCAAACCAUCACAUAAUUUGCCUCUACUUCCGAGCAUCUGUUGCAUGCUACGUAAAUAGUUUACACCGCCUUGUUAAUGAACACAUCCGGAAGAUCUUCGGCUUUGAAACUAUGAGCACAACUGGCAUGAAGGUUAAUUGAUUUUCACCCUGACGAAUUCGGUGCGGCGAGCGUCGAUUUUUGAUUUUUUUUAUUUCCAAUAGGUAAAGUUUUAAUAAUAUUCGAAUAAAAAUAUUGUUUUAUCAAAACAAUGAUACAUCAUA